GUUGACAUGUCAAAUCAAAUCCUUGCAUUCCAAUGUUAAAAGUUGCACCUGAGUGCUGCCAUAAGUAGACACCGCUAACUCUUUCUUUCACCAACGUGUGGUCACAUGGAUACUUGAGGGAGGCUGCACACUUGCAUGGCCUACACCUCUUCUCCCUCGCAGCCUCGCUCAAUAAGGGGCGGUAACUUUUGUUUAUCCUUAUCACUCUAUAAAUACAGUAAGGAUCACCAGUCCACUCCAAUCCAGAACUGGCAAGCCCACUGACUGAACACUCAAGGGACAUAUCCUGCUCUGUGAAUAACUCAUUAACAAGUUUUUGGAGCCUAUAUAAUGUCUUUUUACGCAGAUCCAUUUAAAACAUCUAGUGCCCUUGCAAUGGACUUCAAGGAGCUGGGAGGCGAGGACAACUGCGAAGGAGAUACAGAGGGAAACGCAGAGGAUUUGAACAAUGUGAAAGUACUUACCGAAAAACUAAAGUUACAAACCCGCAGACCGUCCUACUUUGAAUGGCAGGAGCGCUUGCAGAGCCGACCGUGGAAGGAGAACCCAAAUGGUUUAGAUAAUAGUCAAGAGACUGCAGAGAAAUAUGUGUUUUUGCCUGAAAUUAUGCGGGAUGAGAACUCAGAUCUAACCAUCCGCAACAUCUGUGGCUUCGAUACCAUUGAUGAUGCGUUGGAUUUUCUUAGAAAGGAGCUGAGGGAGAUGCGGUUCCAGGAUAACCGUCUAGCGCGCCAGCUGAUCCGCCUGCGUGUGGAGAUCCACCGGCUGAAGGUGGAGCAGGUGUGUCACCGCCACAAGGAGAUGCUGGACGACGCCACCUACGAGCUGGAGGAGUGUGGCGAGGAGUCUGACCUGCUCUGUGACAUCCCCAUGAAGGCUGCCUUCGCCCUCUCCACCCCCCUCAAACACCUUGGCCUCACCAAGAUGAACAUCAACUCCCGACGCUUCUCCCUCUGUUAAAACAUAUACCACCCUGCGAGGCUUGACUUACUGUAUUAACGCCUCUAUCUAAUCUAUGCAGGGUAAUCAGGGGUUUUCCACUGCACAGGUUUCUGUUAUGACAUGAGAGGGAAGAAGAAUGGCUGGCAGAGCAGGCAGACUGUAAUUAGCCAAGUGGGAGGAAAUGGAAAUGACUCCUCUGCUCCGUGCCUAGCCCUGACGUGAGAGAGACACAGGCCUCCAUAGUAGAGCCCUGUAGGCGCACGGCAUACACCCAUAGCAAAGAUGCACCUUUCCAACGCACCUCAGGGAAGGUGCGGACUGGUAGGUCAGAGUAGAUAGACAGGGAAGAUGGUGAUGAGUUGUGGCUCUGGAACGGAUAUGGUUUGAGUUUGGAUUGUCAUGGUGUCCGCUCAAUUGCACUGUAUUCAGAUAAUUAGUUAUGAUGACCCACUGACAUAUAGAAUAGGCCUGACUGCCAUGGUGGUACCGUAACUAGAGAUGUCUCUUGAGCGUUGCACAGGGGAAUUGUCUUUCUUCAGACAAAGAAAAAAUGGUCACAGCGCUAACACUCAUUAACACGAGUCCCAUACUUUAAUCACAACCCAGGAGGAAGUAUGCAUCUCUUCAUACAGACACCUUAACAUUAGUCACACCACCAGGGACAUUUGACAGCCUAGUGGGAAGCAUUUCUCUCCCCUCUGCAUUGGCAGAGUCCCAGUCCACACUCCUCAGGAAGCUGUAGGUCACAUUCCAGCAUUCUGUCACCUCUUCUUCUGAGACCAGAAAUAGCAAGGAUCUCCAUUGGGUCAUGGCUUCAGUGAUAGGACAUUAUUCCAGGCGAUGCCUUAUGUAGUACUCCAUGCUUUUUAUUUUCCUUUAGAUGAUCCAGAUAUUGUAGACAGACCACAGCCCAAUGUGCUGUCAUUGUGUUUUACAGUAGAUUAUAGGCUUGGCCAACUGCAAUGUUGUCCAAGUAAAAAACUGUAUCAAAGUUUUUGAUGUAUUUAAAGAUAUUGUUCUCAGGAAGAAAGAGGAGAAACUGAAAGUAUUUUGGGGUGGGAAAUUUGAGGGAGUGAAUGUUGAACAGGAUUUGGUGGGUGUUACAAAAUGUUACAAAAUGUUUGCUGAAUAUACACAAAGCAAAAUGUAGAUUUGUAAGUGCCUGCUAAUGCAAGUUCCUGCUAAUGCAGGAAUAUCUCAAGGCCAUCCAUUAAUGUAUGAGGGAAAUGACUAGAGGCAGACUAGAGCAGUUUUCAAGAUGCUUGUUUUUCAAUGUAUUUGUUUAAAUGCACAAAAAAUUGCAACAAACUUGAAAAUACACUUGAGAAAAGAAAAUUGUUGUCUGUCUGUCCAUUAAGGUAGGCCGUCGUUGUAAAUAAGAAUUUGUUCUUAACUGACUUACCUAGUUAAAGGUAAAAAAAGUUAGAACAGGGUAAAUGACCUGAGUCAUUACGUGAGACCUCACUGAGUGCUCAGUCAGCUAUAACCUUUCACAUCCUGAAAUACCUUCAGUUUCCUCUUUCAACUACAGCAGGCAUUUGUCUCUUAAAAAUUACGCGGUGUAAGCUGAUCAGAAAACCUCCUAAGGCAGGGUUCCCCAACUGGUUGUUUUAUUUGCGCCCCCAAGUUUUCUGAGCCAUAAAAAAAUACAUUUUUUCCCAUUGUUGCACAUAAACUGUAAAAAAAACAGGAAAUCAGCUCCAAGUGAUUUUAAUUUGGGAAAUCUGUUCCCAAGUAUUUCCACCUAUAAUAGAGACACGUGAUCAUAUGCAAAGGUUUCAAAUUAUUACGUUUUAGUCAAAUAUUAUAUCUGUUUGUGCUUCUUGCAUUCAAUUUGCAGGCUACAAAUGAUUUGUAAUUAUGAUCCGGCCCCCCGACCUUCCUCUCAAGAAAAGAUCGGCCCGCGGCUGAAUCUAGUUGAUGAUCCCUGCCCUAAGGGGUACAGCAUAAAUUCAUGAAUUCAUAAAGAUGUCAAGAUGUCAUCAAUUAUUCUACAAAAUGGGUAGACAUGACAUACUAGUUUACACUGAGAUUACCUCAUGAAUGACAUGAGAGAGAGAUAACUAGGCCAAUUGGAAACAAUGUAAUUAAUUAUAGGAUAUACAGUGCAUUUGGAAAGUAUUCAGACCCCUUCCCUUUUUACACAUUUUUGUUACAUUACAGCCUUAUUCUAAAAUGGAUUAAAUAAAUAAAAAAUCCUCAUCAAUCUACACACAAUACCCAUAAUGACAAAGCAAAAAUAGGUUUUUAGAAUGUUUGCAAAUGUAUUAAAAAUAAAAAACAGAUACCUAAUUUACACAAGUAUUCAGGUCCAUUGAUCAUCAUUGAGGUGUUUUGAGAACUUGAUUGGAGUCCACCUGGGAUAAAUUCAAUUUAUUGGACAUUAUUUGGAAAGGCACAAACCUGUCUAUAGAAUGUCACACAGUUGAAGGUGCUUGUCAGGGCAAAAACCAAGCCAUGAGGUCGAGGAAAUUGUCCGUAGAGCUCCGAGACUGGAUUGUGUCGAGGCACAGAUCUGGGGAAGUUUAGCAAAACAUUUCUGAAGUAUUGAAGGUUCCCAAGAACACAGUGGCUUCCAUCAUGCUUAAAUGGAAGAAGUUUGGAACCACCAAGACUCUUCCCAGAGCUGACUGCCAGCAAAACUGAGCAAUCGGGGUAGAAGGGCCUUGAUCAUGGAGGUGACCAAGAACCCGAUGGUCACUCUGACAGAGCUCCAGUGUUCCUCUGUGGGGAUGGGAGAACCUUCCAGUAAGACAACCACCUUUGCAGCACUCCACCAAUCAGGCCUGUAUGGUAGAGUGGCCAGAAGGAAGCCACUCCUCAGUAAAAGGCACUUGACAGCCCGCUUGGAGUUAGCCAAAAGGCACCUAAAGGACUCUCAGACCAUUCUCUGGUCUGAUGAAAUGAAGAUGGAACUCUUUGGCCUGAAUACCAAGCGUAACAUCUGGAGAAAACCUGGCUAUAUGAUCACACCGAACCACCCACCGAAAGAAGACCAAACAGCGGGGUAAGGAGCAGGAGAAGUAUUUGGAGUCGUGGACAUGGGAGGAGAUUUUAGACGGGAAAGGACCCUGGAGGCAGGCUGGAGAGUAUCGUCGACCGAAGGAGGAACUGGAGGCAGCGAAGGCAGAGCGGCGCUACUAUGAGGCGCUGUAUAAGCCAAGAGGCAAGUGCGAGAGGCACUCUGCCCAACACGGGGAGUUGGGCAGAGUCAGGGUGGAGUCCUGAGCCAACUCCCCGUGCUUACCGUGGGGAGCGGGUGACGAGGAGAGCGCCGAGCUAUGCGGAAAUGCGCAUGGUAUCGCCCACACGCACGCACAGUCCGGUGCGGUCAGUGUGGGCUCCGCAGCGUUGCCGGGCGAGAGUUGGCCGGCAGCCAGGGAGAAGUGCGCCGGCGCAGCGCAUCUGGCCACCAGUACGUCUCCUCGGUCCAGCUUACCCUGCGCCUGCUCUACGCACGGCAGCCCUCACUCUCCAGCACAGCCCAGUUCGCCCUGUGCCAGCGCUCCGCCCGUGCCGGGCUACAGUGACCAUUCAGCCAGGACGGGGUGUGCCAGCCCUGAGCUCCAGACCGCCGGUUCACCUCCACGGCCCAAUGUGCCCCGUGCCUGCGCUGCGCACCCAGUCUCCUGUAAGUCUCCCCAGUCCGGGGAGACCGGUCCCAGCUCCACGCAGGAGGCCUCCAGUGACGCUCCUCAGCCCGGAGCCUCCAGCGACGCUCCCCAGUCAGGAGCCUCCAGCGACGCUCCCCAGUCAGGAGCCUCCAGCGACGCUCCCCAGUCAGGAGCCUCCAGCGACGCUCCUCAGCCCGGAGCCUUCAGCGACGCUCCCCAGUCAGGAGCCUCUAGCGACGCCCCUCAGCCCGGGGCCUCCAGCGACGCCCCUCAGCCCGGGGCCUCCAGCGACGCCUCUCAGCCCGGGGCCUCCAGCGACGCCUCUCAGCCCGGGGCCUCCAGCGACGCCUCUCAGCCCGGGGCCUCCAGCGACGCCUCUCAGCCCGGGGCCUCCAGCGACGCCUCUCAGCCCGGGGCCUUCAGCGGUGGUCUGCAGCCAAGGGCCUUCAGCGGUGGUCUGCAGCCAAGGGCCUUCAGCGGUGGUCUGCAGCCAAGAGCCUUCAGCGGUGGUCUGCAGCCCAGAGUCUUCAGAACGGGAGCUACGCCCAGAGCCAGAGCCACCUCCGUAGUGGGAGGAUUGGCGAAGGGGGGGG
rnacentral:lncRNA from 1 species